GAUUCUUUUACUCAGAAAUGAACAUGGAGCCUUUUACGUGCACCAGUAAAAUGCAUCUGCUCUCAGAGUCCCUUUGGUCCAAACCCCAGCCAGGGAAGUUCCCAGAGAUGGGAGCAGAGGAUUAUCUCCAGGCAGUGCUCAAGAAAAAGAACAAAUCACCUGCUGCCUCAGGAGGACAGGAUUUCUGCUAAUCCCACAUGUGAGCGGCGUUCAUGGCUUCCAGGCAAAGUGGGAUCCUGGGGCCUGCAGAACAUUCAGCCACAUUCACCAGCCCGUCUCUCUUCCGGACCUCUUGGCACAAGCUUUUACUCUUCAGACUGUGUGUGUUUGGUUGAAUCGAAAUAAACACAGUAGGAUUUUGUUUUAGUUUGUUGUUUGUUUUGCAGAACGAGGUCUUAGAGGGAGGACGUCCCAGGCAGAACGAGGUCUUAGAGGGAGGAUGUCCCAGCCAAACUUGACCCCACAUAGGCCAGAGAGAAGUGGUAGGGAGGGCAGCAAAAAGGAACUAUGAAGUAAAAUGGAGACUGGAUGUGGGGACUGACUUCUUCCCCAAAAAGCCUGGAACAUUCUUCUCAAAGCCCCAUGCUGCCAAACUUCCCCGCCAUUCCCUUGAAAUGUUCUCUCAGAGCAG
ensembl:lincRNA